CCACUGCUGAGGAGUCCCACAAUAGGACGAAACGGCCGUCCAGUUC
rnacentral:hammerhead_ribozyme from 1 species